rnacentral:misc_RNA from 1 species
GGCAAAAUUGGGCUAAUCAUUGGGGGCAAAACUGCCUAAUAUGGUGGCCUGCAACAUAAUCUUCUCAAACGGACUCUUUCCUCAGUGUUGUCAUGAUCAUAUCGAAUCAAAAAAAGGCACCUGCAGCCUCUUAUGUCAUGCAUUCUCCUUUGAAUAUCUAUAACAUGAGCAUCAUAAUAUAUGGCUUGAUCUCUCCUUUCCUGGAAGCAGCAUACAAGAUCUCCAACUUGCACCUUAUGACAUUCUGAAUGCUCAAGCGGCACGGAGCGUUCUCGCACUGCAUUUUUUACGUUGACCCAUUCAUCCUCCUCAGCUCCAAAUCCAACAAAUCUAACGUGAACUUCAGCUUCACCAGAUGGAAGGAAUCUGUGACAAAGGAACAUAUCAACAUCCGUACCAUGCCCCAUCUUUUGAUGAUCUAGCUUCAAAUUCCAACUCAGAUAGAUCUGGGACUCUCUCUCCUUUACGCAUUUGAGAACUUUCUUUUGCCUC